GGAGAGUUUGAUCCUGGCUCAGGAUGAACGCUGGCGGCGUGCCUAAUACAUGCAAGUCGAGCGAACGGACGAGAAGCUUGCUUCUCUGAUGUUAGCGGCGGACGGGUGAGUAACACGUGGAUAACCUACCUAUAAGACUGGGAUAACUUCGGGAAACCGGAGCUAAUACCGGAUAAUAUUUUGAACCGCAUGGUUCAAAAGUGAAAGACGGUCUUGCUGUCACUUAUAGAUGGAUCCGCGCUGCAUUAGCUAGUUGGUAAGGUAACGGCUUACCAAGGCAACGAUGCAUAGCCGACCUGAGAGGGUGAUCGGCCACACUGGAACUGAGACACGGUCCAGACUCCUACGGGAGGCAGCAGUAGGGAAUCUUCCGCAAUGGGCGAAAGCCUGACGGAGCAACGCCGCGUGAGUGAUGAAGGUCUUCGGAUCGUAAAACUCUGUUAUUAGGGAAGAACAUAUGUGUAAGUAACUGUGCACAUCUUGACGGUACCUAAUCAGAAAGCCACGGCUAACUACGUGCCAGCAGCCGCGGUAAUACGUAGGUGGCAAGCGUUAUCCGGAAUUAUUGGGCGUAAAGCGCGCGUAGGCGGUUUUUUAAGUCUGAUGUGAAAGCCCACGGCUCAACCGUGGAGGGUCAUUGGAAACUGGAAAACUUGAGUGCAGAAGAGGAAAGUGGAAUUCCAUGUGUAGCGGUGAAAUGCGCAGAGAUAUGGAGGAACACCAGUGGCGAAGGCGACUUUCUGGUCUGUAACUGACGCUGAUGUGCGAAAGCGUGGGGAUCAAACAGGAUUAGAUACCCUGGUAGUCCACGCCGUAAACGAUGAGUGCUAAGUGUUAGGGGGUUUCCGCCCCUUAGUGCUGCAGCUAACGCAUUAAGCACUCCGCCUGGGGAGUACGACCGCAAGGUUGAAACUCAAAGGAAUUGACGGGGACCCGCACAAGCGGUGGAGCAUGUGGUUUAAUUCGAAGCAACGCGAAGAACCUUACCAAAUCUUGACAUCCUUUGACAACUCUAGAGAUAGAGCCUUCCCCUUCGGGGGACAAAGUGACAGGUGGUGCAUGGUUGUCGUCAGCUCGUGUCGUGAGAUGUUGGGUUAAGUCCCGCAACGAGCGCAACCCUUAAGCUUAGUUGCCAUCAUUAAGUUGGGCACUCUAAGUUGACUGCCGGUGACAAACCGGAGGAAGGUGGGGAUGACAUCAAAUCAUCAUGCCCCUUAUGAUUUGGGCUACACACGUGCUACAAUGGACAAUACAAAGGGCAGCGAAACCGCGAGGUCAAGCAAAUCCCAUAAAGUUGUUCUCAGUUCGGAUUGUAGUCUGCAACUCGACUACAUGAAGCUGGAAUCGCUAGUAAUCGUAGAUCAGCAUGCUACGGUGAAUACGUUCCCGGGUCUUGUACACACCGCCCGUCACACCACGAGAGUUUGUAACACCCGAAGCCGGUGGAGUAACCUUUUAGGAGCCAGCCGUCGAAGGUGGGACAAAUGAUUGGGGUGAAGUCGUAACAAGGUAGCCGUAUCGGAAGGUGCGGCUGG
rnacentral:rRNA from 1 species